rnacentral:sRNA from 1 species
AAAUCACUAAUUUGGCCAAGAGAAGACUCAUCUCCUAAUUACCUCAUGAAAAAACUUUCUCUUUCUGCGACUUGUCGACACUCUUGCAGGCCAAAUACUUGAUAGUCUUCUUCUUCCUUCCUUUAUACACAUUCUACAAUACAAUUUGAACAAAACGUUACAUCAAUGGCUUUGUGAAUAUAUGGUAUUCCCUUGGUUACCUUAAAUCAGAGAUUCACCUCCAAAUCCAAACCCGAAACUUAAAAACCCUAAAUUAGAUCGAAGUUUCUAUUCUAUCAGAUUCAAAACCCACGAAUCAGCCUAACAAUGUUCAACUGUGUCUUCGAAAUCGAAAAUCCCCAGAUGUAGGAAAAUUGUAACAACCUGUAGAAGCAAUAGAGAAAGAGACUUACCUAGAGCGAUGUUGUCGCAUUGAAUAGACUUAGGCUUGUUGAGACCAUGAGAACAAUCUUCAAUUCGAGUUUCAUAAGCAAGAGAGGCAUGUAGGCUCGAUCGAAGGUAAUUUGGAAGCUCACCUCUUAUGCCACUAUUGGAGAAGAAAUAAUCACUCGUGCCAUUCUUAUGUUUGGAAUAUUAUUAUUGAUUUUUAUUUAAAUCGAAAAAUGAGGAAAGGACGAAAAACCCUUGCGAAACCACAAAAACUACAAGAAAACUUAAUUUGUUGGGCUCGGGCCCAAAAAAAAAUGUAAAUACUCGGCCCAGUUGUAUUAUUUACAGAAAAAACCUAAGUAAAAACCUAAGUUCCCCCUUUUCACUUCUCGACUUCUUCCUCUUCUCUCCGUCGUCGUCUUCUCUCGUCUCCGACGAUACCACUUUCACCGGAAAAAUCAAUCUCUUCUAUUCUUCUUUCUUCUCCGUUUUCGUUCGUCUUUGUCUCUUUCAUAUCCGCAAAUUUAUUUUCCAAUGGCUAGAGUAAAAGACUCAUCUGGAGAAUAUGAAUCAACUAGGGUUGAAUCGACCGGCGAAAUUCCUCCAUCAGUCGACGACACCGCCGCCGAGAUUCCCCAAAGAGAUGAAGAAGGCACAGAGCUUCUUACAACAGAAGAGGAAGCCGGAGAAAUUCAGCCUACAACCGGCGAUUGUGACGCAGCCGAUUUGGGUAAUUCAAACGCCGUCGCAUGGGAAUCAAUUGACGAUCUUUCAGACCCAAAUGCCGAUUCUUGUGCAGAAGAAGAAGAGGCAACGAAUGCAGUUGUUCAACAUGAUGAUGGAGCAAAUAAGGUAUGAUAGAAGACCGUUAUUUUUUUGAUUAGGCUCGUUUUAGGAUAUUAUGCAUGCAUUGGUAAAUGAUUGGAUUUGUGAAUGGUGCUUCAGAUAAAACAAAUAGUACAACUAGGUCGUAAAUUUGUGAAUGGUCAUUCAGGAACAACUAGUACAACUAGGUAGUUAAUGUGAAAUUGAAAGUAUUUUGAAUUGAAUAUGCAGGAUGAUGGUGAUGAUGAUAACCUGCCGUAGAAUAUGCAGCAUGGUGAUGAUGAUCUUCAGCCGCAGAAUAUGCAGGAUGAUGAUGAUGAUGAUGAUGAUAAUCAACCAUUGCCGCCAGAAGUUAUGUACUUUGAUCCAACUACCUACACGAAGGUGUGUAAGAUAGGAACGAGGUGUCAGUUGGUACAAACAGUGGAAUUUAUAGAGACUUUGGAUGCAGAACUGAAGUGGUUUAGGAAUCAUGACCAAUUUAAGCACAUAUUCCACAUGCCUAAGGAGCCCAAUCACAUGAUUCAAGGCAUGUGGAUGCUUAUGGUUCGCACGGCUAAGACAGAAUUGGCGAGAGAGUGUUGGUUUGUUGUCAAUGGAGUACCUAUAAGGUACUCAAUUAGAGAGCAUGCAUUGUUGACCGGUUUGAACUGCCGUGAGUACCCAAAAAACUAUAAGACUUUAGGCAGUUUGAAGUUUGUGGAGAAGUUGUUUAAGAGGACUGAGGACAUCAAGAUUAAAGACGUGGAAGAGAAGCUGGAAGAGUUUAAGAGUGAGAAGUCUACUGCUAGGUUGAAGUUGGCAAUUCUGUUAUUCUUAGCUAAGGUUAUGAAAGCUGAUUCUAAAGGGGAUUCGAAGAUAAAGGAGUUUUUGCUUAGGAUUGUGGAUAAUGUCAGAGCUUGUGAGACAUUCCCGUGGGGACGUUUUUCCUUUGAGCAGUGUAUGGAAGGGGUGCGGAGAGUAAUGAAGAACAUGAAAGGUGUGGUGAAACAGAAGGCACAGACUGCUUUUUAUGGAUUUAUUACUCCACUUGAGGUAAGUAGUCGAGUAAAUUAUAUGAGUGGCUAGAUUUUGUUAUUGUGAACUUUCAUUUACUUUUAUGUUUUUGUGUCUAGAUUCUGGCAUUUGAGUGCAUUCCGCAGCUUGGGAAGAGAUUUAGAGAAGCUGUACGUGCAGACAAGGAAUGUCCAAGAAUGUGCAAGCACAAGUUCAGUGAAAGUUGCAUGAAGGGAUUUACUUUGGAAGAAAUAAAUGAAGCACUUGGAGAUAUAACGGUUAGCUUUGUUCUCUUGAAAUCUAUGUUUAUAAUCUUUGUGGUGUUUGAAAUAUAUGUUUACUUGACAGGAUAUUUCAAGCAUCUUGGAACCUGAUAUGGAUGAGAGAAAAAUGUUGUCACGCGUUGUAGAGAAGCAUGUUGAUGAUGGUAUUGGAUAUAUUGAUCCAAUUGUUGAUAGUUAGAAAGAGAGGCUUAUCGUAGAGAAAAAGAAGAUUUUCUGGCGUAGUCUCUACCAAGCAGACAUUGAUGGUAGACGUAUUGAAACUGUUGAUGAUGUUCCAGCUGUACCUGAACCUGAAAUCCCUGGGACAUCGAUUCUCUCGUUCAAGGAAGCUAUGGAGAGAGGAUUUGACAAGCUCACGGACAAGCUUGCUGUGAUGGAUAGCGAAAUCAAGCGAAUUUGUUUGAGAGUACAAGGAAUAGAGGAAUAUGUGGCAGAUCAACUUGAGAAAGAGGCAGAAAAAGACAAAUAUGAAGAUAUGCGUCCUGGUUCAGCUGCUGAUUUUGUGCCACCGUCUUAUCAGCCAAGGGAUACUCAGAGCAAGGCCUUGGUUAUUCACAGUGGAAUCCGUGACCCAGCACCUCCAACUAUUGAGUCUCUAAGUGAGUUUUUGUUGAACUUUUGUGUAGUGAUGCUUUCACAAUAGUUCUUACAUGUUUGGUUACAUAUUUUUGUAGGUGAUGGCAGCGAUGAGUCCGAUGAAGAGGAUAAGAAGAAGAAGAAGAAGAAGCAGAUAUCGAAGAAGAAGAGAAAGCAUGUUGGUCCUACUCUGGAAUCUGGGAAAAAACGUGGAAGGAAACCUUCCAAGUAUAAGGGGGAAGAGUUUACAGCUGAGGGGAAGCAAACGAGGAAGAGACUUUGACUUUUCUUUCUUGCUUAUGUGUGUGUGUGGACUCUUAGGUGUUUGGAGAAAUAGGACUUUCUUUUUGUGUAUUUGGGAAUGUUAUGCGUAGUUUAUGUGUAGAGGACAAACUUAUUUUCUGUAAUGGUUUAUGUGUUUUUUGAUUUUAUUAAAAUCAAAACGUUUGGCUAAGUUGUCCCGGUUGGCCGGUCAAUAGUACAAGAGUUGCUAAGUUGUCCCAGUUGGCCGGACAAUACACAUAACUUAAAAUACAAGAGUUGCUAAGUUGUCCCAGUUGGCCGGUCAAUACACAUAACUUAAAAUACAAGAGUUGCUAAGUUGUCCCUAUUGGCCGGUCAAUACACAUAACUUAAAAUAGGUAAAUAGCUAAGUUGUCCCAGUUGGCCGGUCAAUACACAUAACUUAAAAUACAAGAAUAGCUAAGUUGUCCCUGUUGGCCGGUCAAUACACAUAACAUAAAAUAGGUAAAUACAUGUCUAAUUAGGUUCAAAUAUUACAUAAAAUCCAGAAACAUAACAUAAUUAGGUUCAAAUGCCAUACACCAUCCUCAAUAACAUAAAACACAUCAUAAUCACCAUGUAGAAAGUAAUGCCCUAAGCCUAUCAAUCUCGACUUCUUUGGCGAGUAACCUUUCUUUAAGGGUUUCAAUUUCGCCUUGCAUGAGUUGAAUAGUUUCCCGGAUGGACUCCAAAGCAUGAUUGCAUGCUAGUUGUCCAUGUCUUAGUGCGGAAUCAAGUUUGUGAUUUACCUUCUCAAGCUCCUCAGUUACCGCCUGAUCCCACCACUGAAUAAGGUGGUUUCGGGACUCGUACUCUUCAUCCUGCGAAAGAGAGAAGACUUCAUAAAUAUAAUUCACAUGUACUUUGUUGUUCCAAUGAAAUGAAAACACAAUAACUUACUUUAAGCAUUGGGCAUUUGUAGACUCUGUCGCCUUGCCUGUAACCAGUUUUGCACACUUCAAGUUUUACAGGCUUACCACAAAAACAUUUUUCUGGAACCCCCCAAUUUGCAUCGGCAUUCGCCUCUCCACUAUUCCAACUAGUUUAGGACGUGGAUGGUUGAGAGUAACUAUAGGGCCUCUACAAAA